rnacentral:lncRNA from 1 species
AAAAAGUUAUCAAAUUGUGCAUGGUGAAAAUACAAAAUGAACACCCCCUCUAUACAAAAUUUUUUACAAAUCAAGGAUACGGACGUGAGCGGCCUUGUAUCAAGAUUUUUUCACUUUUUGUGACUCCAAAUAUUUUGUCUUGUGAAAAUUAAUAGAUACUCCAUUUUUGUCUCUUGUGGGAAGCUCAAUUGAGCCUCUUUGGAGAAUUAUCAUGCCAUGUGUGGUGAGCUCAUUUGUCCAAAUCUCAUGUGUACUUGUACUAUCUAGAACCUCCCCCAUUAGUAUCUCAAGGAUAAUAUUAAUUGUACUUGGUUGGUGAGAUGAUCUUAGGUCAUCAUUGUGACAUUGGAACUCCACUUUAGCCUAAAAUGCCUACCAUUUCAUAGAUGGUAUCCCUAGUCACCCACUUUGAGCAUUUAGACCUUUCUUUUGCAAACAUAUUACAAGCUGUGAGCCUUUCAGUGUUAUCCGUCUUUUGAACCCUAUCCUCCUUGAACUUAAAAAUGCAAAUUAAAGAUAAAAGCUUAAGUUGGGGGUGAUGAAUAUUGGAAGAGGUAACUUUGGGCCACGAAGUUAUAAGUGAGUGCCUAUGGGCUUUAGCAUUGAGAGAAAUUAAAUAAGGAAAAAAAGGAUCCAACAAAGGAAAGAGAAUCACAAAGGGUGCAACAAAAAAAAUGAAAAGAAAAUGCGAGAACCAAGGAAAUUAAAGUAGGCACAUGUAUAAAAGUGAAUACAAAAUAAGUGGCUCAUGGUAAAAAGUUGGAUGGAAUAGUGUGCUGAAGAUGUUCAAGAAGGAUAUAACCAUGUGGUCCAAAAUGAUAUCCUACCCUACCACAAACCUACCUUAUAAGCUCAAAAAGUCCUUUGAGAUCUCCAACCAAGUGUGGUCAUUAUAGUGGUGAUUAAAAAUAGUGGUAAGCCUACGGCGUGGUACUUGUUAGCAUUGAGAUCUCUUGAGAGAGAGACAGAGUAUUUUGCACUUAAAUUCCUUAUUGCAUAUUUGAUAGCUUGGUGUGUGGAGUUAUCUUUCUUGUAAGGAGGCAUGUAAACAAGUUAAGGUGGGUGAUAUUGUAUACUCCAAAAAAUUGAGGCAAAAGGAUUAAAUAUAGUUGCGGUAAAAAAGGUUAGUCACUUUUAGAGUAUGAGUGAUUGAUACACGGUUGCUUUAUAAAGUCUUUUGCAUCCUUUAAAAGUGAAUUUUAUGUUGAUGGGUGUCACGAAAAUGGUUUUUGACCAUGUUUGCAAAGUAAUUUGUGGUAGUACUCAAGCUAAAGUCAUUGUGAUCAUCGAAUCAUAUAAUUUGGGCAUACAUGUGAAUUCGCUCAUGGUAAAAAGUAGUGUUGAUUAAGGACAAGCAAACAUCUAAGUUGGGGGCAUUGAUGAGUGGUGAAUUUACCACUGAUUUGCUCCUAAUAUUUUUGCACACUAUUAUGAUUUGAAUGCGUAAAUGACAUAUAUUUUUGAUUAAAUGCACCAAUUUCCACAUUCUUGCAUGCAUACAAGUGAUGAAAUAGAAAGAUGUAGAUUUAAGCUAAAUAGAGAUUGAAAAGAGAGGAAAAGUGCACAGCUG